rnacentral:rRNA from 1 species
GAUGAACGCUGGCGGCGUGCUUAACACAUGCAAGUCGAACGGGAAACCUUUUAAAGAAGCUUCGGCAAAUUUAGCUGGUUUCUAGUGGCGGACGGGUGAGUAACGCGUGGGUAACCUGCCUUGUACAGGGGGAUAACAGUCAGAAAUGACUGCUAAUACCGCAUAAGCGCACAGGACCGCAUGGUCCAGUGUGAAAAACUCCGGUGGUAUAAGAUGGACCCGCGUUGGAUUAGCUAGUUGGUGGGGUAACGGCCUACCAAGGCGACGAUCCAUAGCCGGCCUGAGAGGGUGAACGGCCACAUUGGGACUGAGACACGGCCCAGACUCCUACGGGAGGCAGCAGUGGGGAAUAUUGCACAAUGGGGGAAACCCUGAUGCAGCGACGCCGCGUGAAGGAAGAAGUAUCUCGGUAUGUAAACUUCUAUCAGC